CAACUACUCCCUCUGUCCCAAAUUUCUUGUCUUAGAUUUGUCUAGAUACGGAUGUAUCUAGUAUCUAAUACUAAAAUGUGACUUGAUACAUCCGUAUCUAGACAAAUAUAAGACAAGAAUUUUGGGACGGAGGGAGUACUUU
rfam:Triticum aestivum genome assembly, contig: Triticum_aestivum_CS42_TGACv1_scaffold_307614_4AS